GGAAUAACUGACUCGGGUCCCCCGGUCUAUAGCAGAGCAUUCAUUCUGAAACGGGAUCUUGAUAUUACGCCACUAUCUAUAUGUGUAAUCAAAGGCCGUUGCUUCUACCAGAACGCUACCAAUCCAGACAACAAUGGUUAUACCUGCUAUCCUGAAAUGGACCCUUACCACUGGAUUAAAGACUUGACAACGGGAAGAGUGCCGGGAGAUGCCUGCCUCAAGGGCUCUGGUGAGUGUGAGCUCGUGCAAGGGGGAGCCUAUUGUGACUCAUCUGGAAGAUGCCAAUGCUUCCCGGCUCAUUCCUUAUCAGGAACGG